AGAGUUUGAUCCUGGCUCAGGACGAACGCUGGCGGCGUGCCUAAUACAUGCAAGUCGAACGAAGCUUUCUUUCACCGAAUGCUUGCAUUCACCGAAAGAAGCUUAGUGGCGAACGGGUGAGUAACACGUAGGCAACCUGCCCAAAAGAGGGGGAUAACACUUGGAAACAGGUGCUAAUACCGCAUAACCAUGAACACCGCAUGAUGUUCGUGUAAAAGACGGCUUUUGCUGUCACUUUUGGAUGGGCCUGCGGCGUAUUAACUUGUUGGUGGGGUAACGGCCUACCAAGGUGAUGAUACGCAGCCGAACUGAGAGGUUGAUCGGCCACAUUGGGACUGAGACACGGCCCAAACUCCUACGGGAGGCAGCAGUAGGGAAUCUUCCACAAUGGACGAAAGUCUGAUGGAGCAACGCCGCGUGAAUGAAGAAGGCCUUCGGGUCGUAAAAUUCUGUUGUCAGAGAAGAAUGUGCGUGAGAGUAACUGUUCACGUAUUGACGGUAUCUGACCAGAAAGCCACGGCUAACUACGUGCCAGCAGCCGCGGUAAUACGUAGGUGGCAAGCGUUGUCCGGAUUUAUUGGGCGUAAAGGGAACGCAGGCGGUCUUUUAAGUCUGAUGUGAAAGCCUUCGGCUUAACCGAAGUAGUGCAUUGGAAACUGGAAGACUUGAGUGCAGAAGAGGAGAGUGGAACUCCAUGUGUAGCGGUGAAAUGCGUAGAUAUAUGGAAGAACACCAGUGGCGAAAGCGGCUCUCUGGUCUGUAACUGACGCUGAGGUUCGAAAGCGUGGGUAGCAAACAGGAUUAGAUACCCUGGUAGUCCACGCCGUAAACGAUGAGUGCUAAGUGUUGGAGGGUUUCCGCCCUUCAGUGCUGCAGCUAACGCAUUAAGCACUCCGCCUGGGGAGUACGGUCGCAAGACUGAAACUCAAAGGAAUUGACGGGGGCCCGCACAAGCGGUGGAGCAUGUGGUUUAAUUCGAAGCAACGCGAAGAACCUUACCAGGUCUUGACAUCUUCUGACAAUUCCAGAGAUGGAACGUUCCCUUCGGGGACAGAAUGACAGGUGGUGCAUGGUUGUCGUCAGCUCGUGUCGUGAGAUGUUGGGUUAAGUCCCGCAACGAGCGCAACCCUUAUUGUCAGUUGCCAUCAUUAAGUUGGGCACUCUGGCGAGACUGCCGGUGACAAACCGGAGGAAGGUGGGGAUGACGUCAAAUCAUCAUGCCCCUUAUGACCUGGGCUACACACGUGCUACAAUGGACGGUACAACGAGUCGCUAACUCGCGAGGGCAAGCUAAUCUCUUAAAGCCGUUCUCAGUUCGGAUUGCAGGCUGCAACUCGCCUGCAUGAAGUCGGAAUCGCUAGUAAUCGCGAAUCAGCAUGUCGCGGUGAAUACGUUCCCGGGCCUUGUACACACCGCCCGUCACACCAUGAGAGUUUGUAACACCCAAAGUCGGUGGGGUAACCUUUUGGAGCCAGCCGCCUAAGGUGGGACAGAUGAUUGGGGUGAAGUCGGAACAAGGUA
rnacentral:rRNA from 1 species